GGGGCUGUAACUCAGUGGUGGAGUGCUUGCCUUGCAAGUAUGGGGCACUGGGUUUGAUCCUCAGCACCACA
rnacentral:tRNA from 1 species